GUGGGGAAUUUUGGACAAUGGGCGAAAGCCUGAUCCAGCAAUGCCGCGUGCAGGAUGAAGGCCCUCGGGUUGUAAACUGCUUUUGUACGGAACGAAAAGCUCUGGGCUAAUACCCUGGAGUCAUGACGGUACCGUAAGAAUAAGCACCGGCUAACUACGUGCCAGCAGCCACGGUAAUACGUAGGGUGCAAGCGUUAAUCGGAAUUACUGGGCGUAAAGCGUGCGCAGGCGGUUUUGUAAGACAGUGGUGAAAUCCCCGGGCUCAACCUGGGAAGUGCGCUUGUGACGGCAAGGCUGGAGUGCGGCAGAGUGGGAUGGAAUUCCGCGUGUAGCAGUGAAAUGCGUAGAUAUGCGGAGGAAAACCGAUGGCGAAGGCAAUCCACUGGGCCUGCACUGACGCUCAUGCACGAGAGCGUGGGGAGCAAACAGGAUUAGAAACCCUGGUAGUCC
rnacentral:rRNA from 1 species